AUUAGAGUUUGAUCCUGGCUCAGGAUGAACGCUGGCGGUAUGCCUUACACAUGCAAGUCGUACGAGAGUUUUUAACUCAAGUGGCGGACGGGUGAGUAACACGUAAGAAUUUGCCUUUAGGAGGGGGAUAACAACUGGAAACGGUUGCUAAUACCCCAUAUGCUUUCGAGUGAAAUGGAUUUCCGCCGAAAGAGAAGCUUGCGGCUGAUUAGCUUGUUGGUGAGGUAAUGGCUCACCAAGGCGACGAUCAGUAUCUGGUUUGAGAGGAUGAUCAGACACACUGGAACUGAGACACGGUCCAGACUCCUACGGGAGGCAGCAGUGGGGAAUUUUCCGCAAUGGGCGAAAGCCUGACGGAGCAAUACCGCGUGAGGGAUGACGGCCUAUGGGUUGUAAACCUCUUUUUUCAGGGAGGAAUCAAUGACGUGUACCUGAAGAAUAAGCAUCGGCUAACUCCGUGCCAGCAGUCGCGGUAAUACGGAGGGUGCAAACGUCGCUCGGAAUCAUUGGGCGUAAAGCGCACGUAGGCGGUCCAGCAAGUCGGGUGUGAAAGCCCUCGGCUUAACCGAGGAAGUGCAUUCGAAACUACUGGACUUGAAUACUGGAGAGGAUCGCGGAAUUCCCGGUGUAGAGGUGAAAUUCGUAGAUAUCGGGAGGAACACCAGUGGCGAAGGCGGCGAUCUGGACAGAUAUUGACGCUGAGGUGCGAAAGCGUGGGGGAGCAAACAGGAUUAGAUACCCUGGUAGUCCACGCCGUAAAACGAUGGAUGCUGGUCGUCGCGGGUAUUGACCCCUGCGGCAACGCAGUUAACGCAUUAAGCAUCCCGCCUGGGGAGUACGGCCGCAAGGCUAAAACUCAAAGGAAUUGACGGGGGCCCGCACAAGCGGUGGAGCAUGUGGUUCAAUUCGACGCAACGCGCAGAACCUUACCUGGGUUAAAUCCACCGGAAUCCUGCAGAGAUGUGGGAGUGCCCGCAAGGGAGCCGGUGAGAAGGUGCUGCAUGGCUGUCGUCAGCUCGUGUCGUGGGAUGUUGGGUUAAGUCCCGCAACGAGCGCAACCCCUGUCGUCAGUUGCCAACAGGAAAGCUAGGCACUCUGGCGAGACUGCCGACGUUAAGUCGGAGGAAGGUGGGGAUGACGUCAAGUCCUCAUGGCCCUUACGCCUGGGGCUACACACGUGCUACAAUGGUCGGUACAAUGGGUUGCGAUACCGCGAGGUGGAGCCAAUCCCAAAAAGCCGGCCUCAGUUCGGAUUGCAGUCUGCAACUCGACUGCAUGAAGCCGGAAUCGCUAGUAAUCGCUGAUCAGCAGGCAGCGGUGAAUACGUUCCCGGGCCUUGUACACACCGCCCGUCAAGCCACGAAAGUUGGUAGUACCCGAAGUCGCUGCGGUAACCCGCAAGGGAGCUAGGCGCCUAAGGUAAGGCCAGCGAUUGGGGCUAAGUCGUAACAAGGUAAC
rnacentral:rRNA from 1 species